GACGAACGCUGGCGGCGUGCCUAAUACAUGCAAGUCGAACGCAGUGGGGACGGGUGAGUAACACGUGGGUAACCUCCCAUCAGAGGGGAUAACACUUGGAAACAGGUGCUAAACCGAUACUGAUGGAUGGAACCGCGGUGGAUUAGCUAGUGGGUGAGGUAACGGGUCACCAAGGCCACGAUGUAAAGGCGAGUGGCGAGGGUGAUCUGCCACACUGGGACUGAGACACGGCCCAGACUCCUACGGGAGGCAGCAGUAGGGAAGCUUGCGCAAUGGACGAAAGCCUGACGCAGCAAUGCCGCGUGAGUGAAGAAGGUGUUCGGAUCGUAAAGCUCUGUUGUUAGAGAAGCGGUAUCUAACUAGAAAGCCACGGCUAACUACGUGCCAGCAGCCGCGGUAAUAC
rnacentral:rRNA from 1 species